rnacentral:lncRNA from 1 species
UUUAUUAGUUCCACAAUAUCCUUGUUUCUAAUUGUUCAAUUUUGCCUGAUGGUAUACCUCCUUUUAUCUAUUCGAUUAGCCCAGCAUUGUGGUUGCUUUUAAUUAUUUGAUCAGCAGACGAUGUGGCUGUUUAUUCAACCAUUUGGUUAGCCCGAUAGUGCAACUGUUUUAAUUCUUAGAUUAGCCCGACGGUGCGCAUAUUAUCAAUUAUCUGAUUAGCCCCAAAGUAUGUAACUUUUCAACUUUAGAAUUAACACGACAAUGUGGCUGUUUUCGAUUAUUCUAUUACUUAGC